UACGAAGGGGGCUAGCGUUGUUCGGAAUCACUGGGCGUAAAGGGCGCGUAGGCGGCUUUGUAAGUCGGGGGUGAAAGCCUGUGGCUCAACCACAGAAUUGCCUUCGAUACUGCAUGGCUUGAGACCGGAAGAGGUAAGUGGAACUGCGAGUGUAGAGGUGAAAUUCGUAGAUAUUCGCAGGAACACCAGUGGCGAAGGCGGCUUACUGGUCCGGUUCUGACGCUGAGGCGCGAAAGCGUGGGGAGCAAACAGG
rnacentral:rRNA from 1 species